CCCCCCCAACUUCUGCUGUCUUUUUUCAGUUGGGAUCAAGCUGGGAUUCAGAAUAGAUAAUCAGUGCUUGAUUGAAAGAUGUUGUCAAAGGGGAAAAGAAGUCUGGGAUGAUUCGAGGUUUCGAGGUCUUUCAGAGGAAAGAAAAAGCACAGGUCUUGCUAAAUCCACUGGAUAAGAAAACCAGGAUGAAAAAGGAUAAAAUUUCUUGUUCCAGGUUGCAGAGUCAAUAAAUGUAAUAGCUAGGAAUCAGAACAGACUCUGAAGUCCAGUGUUCUUUCUACUGAACUAUAGAUAUAUGAAUUGGUCAAAUAUUGUCAUAAUAUUUUAGCAUCUUUAUGCUACAUAUACAUUCCCUUUAUUCUCCAAAUUAAUUGCAUAUUUAGAAAAAUAUGUUGCAUUUGGUUAUUAGAUAAAAGGCAAAGAAAAAAUAAUUUUAAAACAUGUCUUCAUGAAAAUAAAAGGAUGAAAUCACUGCUCCCGGAAGAAAAAUUGGAUUGAGUAAAUAAAACUGAGUGAUUUUUAAAAUAUUUUCUGUCAUGUGUUUAGAAACAGAUGGAUUAUUUUUUACUUGGCAUUAGACCUACAACUGAUGAUUUGUGGUACCUUCAUAUAGGCAUAUAGGCAUUUGUUUAAAAUAGACAAAGUAUUGAUCAAUCUAAUUUUAAAAAAAAGGAAAGAAGAAAACCAAAUCGACAGUAUCCAAGAUGAAAAGGGAGACCUCACCUUUAAUGAAGAGGAAAUCAAGGCAAUCAUUAAAAACUAUUUUGCCCAAUUAUAUGGCAUAUAGGUAUUUGUUCAUGGUAUUGCUUGGACACUGGGAAUUGAGAGAUAAAGGAGCAUAUGU